UACGGAGACUGCAAGCGUUAUCCGGAUUUACUGGGUGUAAAGAGUUGCGUAGGCGGUUUAUUAAGUAAAGCAUUAAAGCGUGUGGCUUAACCAUACAGAUGUGCUUUAAACUGAUGAACUAGAGUGUAAGAGAGGUUACUGGAAUUUCUUGUGUAGGAGUGAAAUCCGUAGAUAUAAGAAGGAACACCGAUGGCGUAGGCAGGUAACUGGCUUACUACUGACGCUCAGGCACGAAAGCGUGGGGAGCGAACCGG
rnacentral:rRNA from 1 species